UACGUAGGGUGCAAGCGUUAAUCGGAAUACUGGGCGUAAAGCGUGCGCAGGCGGUUUUGUAAGUCUGACGUGAAAUCCCCGGGCUCAACCUGGGAAUUGCGUUGGAGACUGCAAGGCUAGAAUCUGGCAGAGGGGGGUAGAAUUCCACGUGUAGCAGUGAAAUGCGUAGAGAUGUGGAGGAACACCGAUGGCGAAGGCAGCCCCCUGGGUCAAGAUUGACGC
rnacentral:rRNA from 1 species